AGUCGAAAAUAGCCGAUUCGAGGCGGACCACCAUCUCAGGCGGCGGUGCCGUCACCGGAGCAAGGCAGAGCCACCAUGCCAGAAUUCUGAAAUUGGUCAAUUGGGCCCUGUGACUGAUUUUGGAUUUGUUUAGGACAUUUGUAGGUAUUAUUAGCGCGUUUUGAUUCCCGAAGCAAAAUUCAGGGAACCCGGGAAUCACCCAUAUGCGCAAUCGAACAGUUUAGCUUUUCGAGUAUCAAAUCGAGUAAGGAUCCCUCACCCUAUUCUCUAUCAUAGAAUUGAAGUUUAAAUAA
rnacentral:lncRNA from 1 species